AUAUAUCUCUCCCCCUCCCAAUAUCUCAAUCUCGAAAUAAGGCCAGGCCCUUCAUAUUUACAGUCGCCCUCUUGGAGAUCUCAACACAGACUCACAGCGACUGGUGCGCGAGUCUACAUUUGCCUUCACUCUUAAGUGACGUCAGUUUCCCCUCGUGUUUUAAAGUCGGGCUGUCAUAACAAUGAAGGUCGCGCUGUUAUGACAAAUUCUAUAGAGCCUCAGUCAACACAUUCAAGGUUGGGCUGUUUAUAGGCCUACGUCAAAUUCUAUUGUGUCUAUUACGCAUAGUAGGUGCAUUUUCUUCCUCUAUUCUUCCGUCAGAAAGUACAUUUCUUUUCUAUUUUUUUACCUCAUGUGAACUGCAACGAUUCAUUGGACAAAAAGGAAAAUGACAACAAUUUUAGGAGAUUAGGUAAACAUUCUUGAUUGUACAACCUGACGUAAGCGCUGCAACGAGCCAAUUAGCAUAUCAUACAAAAAAUGAAAAGAAAUUCCACUUAUAAUCAGGAUGACUCAGUUCUAAAACUGGGUAUUACUUGUAAUAAUCUAAAACUGGGUAUUACAAAAUAACACGUAAUCAGUCAAUCACUGCCAAAUAUAGAAAUCUAUUUCUGUUUGCUAUUGAAGUAAAGGGGGGAAAAUUUGGCAUAAAAGGCUUGGUGUUUCGUCACAACGGUGAGUUGCACAUCGCAUCAAAGCUGUCUCUGAUACUGCAUUUUGUUGGUUAGGCCUAUAUACUGUUUGACGGAACUCUAUUUAACACUUUAAAAAGAUUGGUUUCUGCAAAGUACGUCUGUAGCCUUACAACCAGCAGUUCGAACAGGAAGAUCCGGGAGAUCCAUCUUUUGCUUUCAAAGACGAUGGCUUACCCAACGCAGACAGUUGACAUGACGAACAGCCAAGAAGCAUUAAUCUUGGCAAAUAGUAUGGUCAACGAGACUAGAAAGUGGAUUGGAGAAAAGAUUGGCAGCAUGAUGCAGCAAUGGGAGAUUGC